GUAGGUGGCAAGCGUUGUCCGGAAUUAUUGGGCGUAAAGCGCGCGCAGGUGGUUCUUUAAGUCUGAUGUGAAAGCCCCCGGCUCAACCGGGGAGGGUCAUUGGAAACUGGGGAACUUGAGUGCAGGAGAGGAAAGUGGAAUUCCACGUGUAGCGGUGAAAUGCGUAGAUAUGUGGAGGAACACCAGUGGCGAAGGCGACUUUCUGGCCUGUAACUGACACUGAGGCGCGAAAGCGUGGGGAGCAAACAGGGAUUAGAUACCCUGGUAGUCCACACCGUAAACGAUGAGUGCUAAGUGUUGGGGGGGUUUCCCGCCCCUCAGUGCUGCAGCUAACGCAUUAAGCACUCCGCCUGGGGAGUACGGUCGCAAGACUG
rnacentral:rRNA from 1 species